rnacentral:rRNA from 1 species
AAGAUUAAGCCAUGCAUGUCUAAGUAUAAACAAAUUUAUACCGUGAAACUGCGAAUGGCUCAUUAAAUCAGUUAUAGUUUAUUUGAUGGUCUUUUUCUACAGGGAUAACUGUGGUAAUUCUAGAGCUAAUACCUGCAUAAAAACCCCGACUUCUGGAAGGGUUGUAUUUAUUAGAUACAAAACCAAUGCGGGGCAACCCGGUUUUUUGGUGAUUCAUAAUAACUUCGCGAAUCGCAU